rnacentral:rRNA from 1 species
UACGUAGGGGGCGAGCGUUGUCCGGAAUCAUUGGGCGUAAAGCGCGUGUAGGCGGUCCGGUAAGUCCGCUGUGAAAGUCGGGGGCUCAACCCUCGGAUGCCGGUGGAUACUGUCGGGCUUGAGUACGGAAGAGGCGAGUGGAAUUCCUGGUGUAGCGGUGAAAUGCGCAGAUAUCAGGAGGAACACCAGCGGCGAAGGCGGCGCUCUGGGCUGGCACUGACACUGAGGAGCGAAAGCGUGGGGAGCGAACAGGA